AUACUAGUAGUAUAUUAUUGUGAAGUAUGCUGUCUUUCCAAGUCAGAGGUCCAGGGUUUGGCUAGUAUA
rnacentral:tRNA from 1 species